rnacentral:rRNA from 1 species
UACGUAGGGCGCGAGCGUUGUCCGGAAUUAUUGGGCGUAAAGAGCUCGUAGGCGGUCUGUCGCGUCGGAUGUGAAAGCCCGGGGCUUAACUCCGGGUCUGCAUUCGAUACGGGCAGGCUAGAGUGUGGUAGGGGAGAUCGGAAUUCCUGGUGUAGCGGUGAAAUGCGCAGAUAUCAGGUGGAACACCGAUGGCGAAGGCAGUGUUCUGGGCCAGUACUGACGCUGAGGAGCGAAAGCGUGGGGAGCAAACAGG